UACGUAGGUGGCAAGCGUUAUCCGGAAUUAUUGGGCGUAAAGAGCGCGCAGGUGGUUGAUUAAGUCUGAUGUGAAAGCCCACGGCUUAACCGUGGAGGGUCAUUGGAAACUGGUCGACUUGAGUGCAGAAGAUGGAAGUGGAAUUCCAUGUGUAGCGGUGAAAUGCGUAGAUAUUAGGAGGAACACCAGUUGCGAAGGCGGCUCUCUGGACUGUAACUGACACUGAGGCACGAAAGCGUGGGGAGCAAACAGGAUUAGAUA
rnacentral:rRNA from 1 species